UACGUAGGGCGCAAGCGUUAUCCGGAAUUAUUGGGCGUAAAGAGCUCGUAGGCGGUUUGUUGCGUCGGCUGUGAAAUCCCGAGGCUCAACCUCGGGUCUGCAGUCGAUACGAGCAAACUAGAGUGUUGCAGGGGAGACUGGAAUUCCUGGUGUAGCGGUGAAAUGCGCAGAUAUCAGGAGGAACACCGGUAGCGGAAGGCGGGUCUCUGG
rnacentral:rRNA from 1 species